rnacentral:rRNA from 1 species
AUUCUGCGAGCACGGCCAGACUUGGGACCGGGAGAGGUGUGGGGUACGCUCAGGGUAGGGGUAAAAUCCUGUCAUCCUGAGCGGACCACCUGUUGCGAAGGCGCCACACUAGAACGGAUCCGACGGUCAGGGACGAAGCCUAGGGGCACGAACCGGAUUAGAUACCCGGGUAGUCCUAGGUGUAAACGCUGUGGACUUGGUGUUGGGGACUCUCCGAGAUUCCUCAGUGCCGAAGCGAAGGUGAUAAGUCCACUGCCUGGGGAGUACGGUCGCAAGGCUGAAACUUAAAGGAAUUGGCGGGGGAGCACUGCAACGGGAGGAGCGUGCGGUUUAAUUGGAUUCAACGCCGGAAAACUCACCAGGGCCGACUGUUAGAUGAAGACCAGUGUGAUGAACUUGUCGGAUUUUCAGAGAGGUGGUGCAUGGCCGUCGUCAGUUCGUACUGUAAAGCGUUCUGUUAAGUCAGAUAACGAACGAGACCCUCAUCUCUAUUUGCUACCUGUCUCUCCGGAGACAGCGCACUAUAGAGAGACCGCUGGUGUUAAACCAGAGGAAGGCGAGGGCAACGACAGGUCAGUAUGCCCCGAAUGUCCUGGGCUACACGCGCGCUACAAAGGACGGGACAAUGGGAAGCCAGGC